rnacentral:lncRNA from 1 species
CUUUUGUGUGCUAGCUGCAGAUACACAUUCAAAUUCUGGUCAGCAAACAAGCCUAUCUAGUGCCAUUGUCAUUCCUGCAAGCCCAGUAGAAUCAGUAAAACAAUGAACUUAUCAUCCCAUUUGAUUCAAGAGCGUUUUUUCCAAGCAAUCCUUAGAUAGAAGGGAAAUGCUACGCAGCAUUUAAUGAAAUUGAAUACUUUUAACACCGGAGAGCCACUGCGGAAAGUAUCCGAGUGCUCUGCAGCAGUGGGAAAUGCCGGAGAUAAGUGGUGAGCCAGCUUAGCCGCACAGUGAUGGCAGGGCAACGCUCAGGUCCUCUGAACACCUUUACCACCAAGGAAGCUCUGAGGUUACAGCGGGUGAGGAACUGGCCCCAAAUUUAGCUAUGGAGAUCCUGCUUGCACAAGAGGGACUUGCUAACAAAACAAGGAGCCUCACAAAAAGAAAGGGGUGCGAAAAUCCUCGUUAUUGGGUCAUUGUAUUUGUCUGAUCUACCUGCAAUAAAUGACACGUGAUGCUACUGUCAGAGAUAAAAGCAAGGUGGCUUUUAAUUCAGGACAUUAAGAGAAAAUAUUAAAAACUUCUUAUCAGAGCAAUAAUUUAUGGCUAACUUCAAAUGCUCAUAAUCUGCCAUCUACAUACAUUUCUAUCAAAUGACCCUGUAAAUAAUUAAUAGAUCUAAUUCUGUCAGUGUUGCCAGGGCAGGUUUCCCUGCAGAAGGUUAAUGCAAUGAUUUAAUUCUUUAUUUAUGUGAUUAGCAGCCCCAAUCAGGCUGUUUUAAUGAGGUCGCAGGCAGCGGAUUAUCUCAGGCGACUUGCCUGGCAGGAGCCCCAAGCGCCCCGUUCUUGUGGUACGUUGUACACUUUCUGUCCAGCUGCCCCAGGGGAAACCAUUGGCAGCUACUGGGGGCAGAGCUGGGGUCCCAGCAGGGCAGCAAAUGCUAUUUACCCCUUUCCUAGUUGCCCGACUCAUAGCUGCACAGUCCACAUAAAACAUAGAAACACAGGGAUUCUUAAAGCACAUCGGCCUCAAGAUUCAUCUAUGCCUGUCCAGAAAAGGAAAGACAGGAAUAUCACUAUGAGACAUGGGAUAAUAUGUCACUAGCAGUGCCUUAGGCUCAUCUGUAAAACCUAGCGCUUGGAUUAAAUCCAAAUGGUGAUCCUCCCUAUGUCAACAAGAGAACCUGACAGUUAUUAGAUUCUUCAUGCUCAACACCCAGGAAGGAGCUGAUACAAGUGCUGCUUUCUCAAGAUCUCAUAAAUCUGCAUUUCUGUGCACACAAAAGCUUGACACACAUGAAGAAAACAGAACCAGAGUGCAUUUCUUUCAUUCCUUCAGUCAUUUUUCUUUCAGUUUUUCACCAAACCCAGUCCAACAGAGAAAAGAGAUCUCUCUGCAGGCUGUGUAUGGAAUUAGGGCCCCAGCUGCAAUAUUCAGAUUCAUUGGGCCACCUGGGAUCACUGUAACCCCACACCUAGAAAGUGGCCUCCCUCCUCGCGGUGAGGGCCAUCAAGCAACCCUCUGCUGUGGGCCACGCUGACGUCAGUGGAUUUGAUAGCAGUAAGGGAGCACCAGGAAGGCCCCACCUGCCUGGCUGGGAAAUGGCAAAGUCUUGGUGUUCCUUCACUCACAGCCUCCAUUCACACUGGCUGAGAAGGGCAGAGGAAACAACUUGGAUGUUUCUUCUCCUACCUCUACUUCUCCUCUGUCAAUGGCAUCUUUCCAUCUCUCUACUGACCUGCUUUUUGUUUGUUUUUCUGCCUUUUUUUUUUUUUUUUUAGUUAUUGAAUCUUGUUUCCCCUGCCAAACUGCCUACAGCUCCUGUUCUGUUUAUUAUACUCAGCACAGAAAGGAAUGAAAAGGAACGAAUCUUGGAAGAGAAACAAAAGCCUGCAAUAAGCUGUAUUCUCAAUUACCCUGUAGCAUGCAGACUGAGAACAAGAGGAGUUGCCACGCUGACACAUACAGCUGAAAAUUGGGUUUGCUAGGUACAGCGAUGUUAAAGGCAGCCUUUCAAUGCCUCCCUCCCAGGCUGCCACUGUGCUGUGCCCUUCGCGAGCACUCCACCACUUAUUGGCACAGGUAUAAAAGCAUCCCUUGGACAAGAGACAGCUCAGGUUUACCACCGUGGAGCUCUGGGAACCUCACAGGAAACACUUAAAAUAGGAUGUUAAACUGGUGUUUGUCUUCCGGUACCGGGACAUAAGCCAGGAGUGCACACUGGAGUGCCCCAUGACCUCCCUCUCCCCUCCUGGAAUCUUUCAGUAGGUCUGGUUUAAAGAGACAAGACGGAGAACACGGAAGACAUCAACACCUUCCAGCAAUCCAAAUAAAUAAACAUCAUUUUUGAUGUCAGUCCUUUAAUGGCUGUCCUCCUCCUUGAAUAUUAAGAAUAUCAUCACAGAACCUAGAAAGCCAGCCAGAAGAGUUGUGAUUUUUACUAAAUGGUAUUAACAAAACCAAAGCUAAAAAAGCAUGAGAAAUGGAGAGUAAUGCUGCAUUUUGUAUAGAUCUUCUAUUGUGGCGCUGCACGUUUGGUUUCAUUAAACUGUCUAAUUUCAGAAUAUAAGUGUUUCUGAACAAACUUUCUUUACCCAGUAAACUUUCAUUUUUUUCUUCACUAAAGUAAUUCAAUAAGUAAACUCAGUAAGAUUGCAGGUGACACUAAGUUGGCAGGAAGUGUCAAUCUGCCUGGGAGUAGAAGGCACUUCAGAGGGAUCUGGACAGGCUGGGCUGAGGCCAAUGGGAUGAAGUCCAACAACACCAACAGCCAGGUACUGCAUUUUGGCCACGAGAACCCCAGGCACCGCUACAGCCUUGGGGCAGAGUGGCUAGAAGACUGUGUUGGAAGAAAUGGACCUGGGGGUGUUGGUCUGUGCUCAGCUGAAUGUGUGCCCAGGUGACCCUAAGGUUGAUGGCAUCCUGGCUUCUAUCAAAAAUAGUGUUGUCAGCAGGAGCAGGGAGGUGAUUAUCUCUCUGUACUCAGCUCUUUUC